ACAAUUUUAUUUCUUAAACUAGUUUUAUGUAAUUAGCAUAACUUAAUACUUGGUGAAUUUGUGUUCCUAUAUUUUGUUUUCUUAAAUUUUCACCCAUGUAUCUAUAGUAAUGUAGAAGUGGAAUUUCUAGGUCAAAGUAAUUUCUCAGAAUAUUGUCAAAUAUUGCAAUAUUGCAAAAUAGUGUCUCCGUAGGUCUUGUAAUGCUUUAAUUCCCGCCGUUCCUGAAAGGCAUUAAACUGGUGAUUUUGGAGGCUUCUAAAGCUCUAAAAUUAUAGAGUGAGUAUUUGAUGAGACCUCCCAUUUCCACGAGUCUUCUGUUUUCCAGGCUAAGCUUAUUCUAGUUCUUGCACAUUUGAUAAAUAGACUUUAUAUGUCCGUACCCAUUAAUAAUAUUCCUAAACAGAAGUGAAUUAAGACAUCUUGACAAGUAAAGGGACACUUCCUUCCGGGCUGACAUGGUUGAGCAUCUUGAAUUUAUCUAAAUGCUCAUCUAUCAUUUCCCAAUCCCCACUUUUAUGAUAUUUUAUCCAAUGCACUAAAAAUUAAAAUCCAUUUGUUAUCUAUGUCUUGUGAUACACAAGCUAGGAUAGUGACCUCUACACUCAGACUCCUUGAAUUUGUAUCUUCUCACCAUCAACUGUGUUUCAUUGGAUCAGUUGUUUAAACCUCUCUGCUUCAGUUUUUAUCAUUUGCUAUGUAAGGGUUUUGAUAGACUGGUUGCCGUGAUUAUAAAAGAUAAUACAUGUAAAGGAUUUAAAUUAGCAUCUGACAAGUAGUAAAUCUUCCAAAAAUGGUUAUUAAAUGAAAGUUACUAAUCUGAUAACAAGGUCCCCCCAAAUUAAGGUAAUUUGACACAAAUUAUUGUUACUUAAUGUAUCCUGGAGAGUUUUUCCUGGAAUUUAUACAUACUUAUCUCUAGUCUCUGAAAACUGUAGUAUCUGGAAAAUUUAUCAGUUAAGGUUAGGUUCAGCUGUGUAAGAAAUAUUCCAAGACAACAUAAUAUUAAUCAAAUAGAAGAAUUUUUUCCCCCUCGAAAUAAAAAAUCCAGAGGUAGACAGUUCAGAGUUAGGUUUGAUGGCUCCACAGAGCCAGCAUUAAUCCAGGUUUUGAGUUCCCUUGUGGCACAUUGGGUUAAGGAUUUGGCUUUGCCACUGCAGCAGCUCCAGUCACUGCUGUGGCUCAGGUUCGGUUGCGCACCUGGGAACUUCUACAUGCCAUGGAUGAGGCCAAAAAAAAAAAAAAAAAAA
rnacentral:lncRNA from 1 species